UCGACAAAAAAAAAUCCCAAAAAUUUUCAAAAAUGUAUUUUACCGACCAAUGAUGUAGUCAGUAUUUUUUAAAAAAUAAAAUAAAAGUUACUACCGGCUACUACAUUUGUCGGAAUUUUCUAAGAAUACCGACUAAUAUAGUAGUCGGUGUUUUUUGUAAAUUAAAAACAAAUGGGCUUUGGAAUUUUCUAAGAAUACCGACUAAUGUACGCACAAGAAACAAACUACUACUAAACCUAACCCUUACCGACCGCUUUAAACCCUAAAAACUAUCCCUCCUGGCUCCUUCCUCAUUGCGCCCCCCUUCUCUUUUAUCUCUCAUCAGAUUUCCUCCUUCACCUCCAUCUCUCUCUCUCAUCACUCUUCCUCUUCUGUUUGGAUUUCGAACUCUAAUGCGAAAUUGGCGAUUGUCUUCUCAAAUCCUCAAGCAAUAAUUUUGGAUUCAGAUACCGCAUAUCUCAAAUCCUUUUUUCUUCUUCUUGUGUUCCUGAAUUCAAUCAAAGAAUAGGUUUUGAAAUUUACUUUUUUCCUAGAUUAAUUGGGAAAUUGUGACCAUUUAUUCAUCCGGGUAUGCGAAAUGGAUGGGAAUCUCAAGUGUUAGCCAAGGGUCUCAAAUGCUCAACAAUGAAUUAACUUGAAAUUCCUCUUUUCCACCUUAUCUUUCGUUUAAUUUCUUAUUUUUUUAAUUUGGUAUAUCUGAAUUUUGAUUUAUAUGUGAUUGUAGGUGAAUAUCUCACGUUUUCAAUCAAGUUUUUGAAGUGGGGAGAUCCAACAAAUUUUAAGUACAGAGAAGAAUUGAAGUUUGUACACAUGUCUACCUUUUUUAGGUGAAUUAAGGAUGUAUUUUUUUUUUGGUGCGUCGAGGGCAGCAACACUCGGCAGGGCCGCGAGGCGACGAGGAGAGAGGGCGCGGGACGCAUGCACAAAGGUGGCAGGGCGCGCUGCGCCGAAGGAAAGAGAGUAAGAGGGAGUGCACGAGUGUGAGAGAGACCAAGGUGCGUGGCUGGCGAGAGGAAGCAGCGAGCAAAGGAGAGGGUGAGGUCGUCGAGUGCAGGGAAGCACGAGGAAGGUGCUCGGCUAGGCAGGCGACGUAAAGAGAAGGCAAAGAAAAAGAGAGGAGAGACAAAGAAGAAAUACUGCUGCAGGAUUUUAGAACGCCGGUAACUCCUAAUAUAGAACGCCGGUAACUCCUAAUAUAUAACUCGAAAUCAAUCUACUCUUGAGGAGAAGUUCAAGAUCUACAACCGUGAAGAAGAAACUUUUGUCUGAAAUCGAACUUAAAUAGGAGAAUAAAGGCCAAAUAGAAGUUCGACAAAAGAAAGGGAGAUUUAGGGUUAGGGUUUUACUUUUGGGUUUAAUGAAUAACUAGUGUUUGGCCCGGGCGAUGCUCCGGUUGAUACUUUGAAUAAUUAAAUUUUGAGAUUUUUCGUCAGAUCUAUAUGUUUGACCAAAAUACAUGUAGUCCAUGCAUAAAAGUGAAAAGAUUCAUUAAAUUAAUCAACUACACAUGUACACCACGUACUCAUUUAUCAUGCGAAGUAAUUUUUCAAUUA